rnacentral:rRNA from 1 species
AUUGAACGCUGGCGGCAUGCCUUACACAUGCAAGUCGAACGGUAACGGGCCUUCGGGUGCCGACGAGUGGCGAACGGGUGAGUAAUGCAUCGGAACGUACCCAUCAGUGGGGGAUAACUUUCCGAAAGGAGGGCUAAUACCGCAUAUUCUGUGCGCAGGAAAGCGGGGGACCGCAAGGCCUCGCGCUGAUGGAGCGGCCGAUGUCAGAUUAGCUAGUUGGUGGGGUAAAGGCCUACCAAGGCGACGAUCUGUAGCGGGUCUGAGAGGAUGAUUCGCCACCCUGGAACUGAGACACGGCCCAGACGCCUACGGGAGGCAGCAGUGGGGAAUGUUGGACAAUGGGCGACAGCCUGAUCCAGCCAUUCCGCGUGAGUGAAGAAGUCCUUCGGGUUGUAAAGCUCUUUCGCAAGGGAAGAAAACUUAAGCUCUAUCAUAGCUCGAGGUUGACGGUACCUUGAUAAGAAGCACCGGCUAACUACGUGCCAGCCGCCGCGGUAA